rnacentral:rRNA from 1 species
GCUGGUGACCAAGCGUGAAGAAAACUCCCGUUCCCAUCCCGAACACGGUCGAAAAGAUUCAUUGCGGUGACAAUACUUGGAGGGCCACCUCCCGGGAAGAUAACUAGUUGCCAGCA